AUCUUUAUAAAGGGCCGCCAAAAGUUUCCUAACGUGUAAACGCGAAAGUUUCCUGAGGUGUAGCUGCAACCAGAAGGCCCAGUUCUGGUGGUGAUUUCACUUUUGACAGAAGCUGUCCCUCAAAAGCAAACGUGUGAUAGAAGAAACAGAUCUCAGUAAGUAGCUUAUUUUUCUGACAAACACUACUGAAAUUUCUUAUUAAUGCUCCUAAUUUUCUCAUUAUGUACUGCAGGGUGAAUAUGGCUCCAGAGGUUGCACCAAAUAACUUCCUUGGGCUCUAAUGAUUAUUGGUAUCUUUUACUGAUGUGUAUCUGUUCUUGACACUAAAGUACACAAAAGCAUACAAAGCCAUCUCCCUCUU